rnacentral:rRNA from 1 species
UACGUAGGGUGCGAGCGUUAAUCGGAAUUACUGGGCGUAAAGCGUGCGCAGGCGGUUAUGUAAGACAGGUGUGAGAUCCCCGGGCUUAACCUGGGAACUGCAUUUGUGACUGCAUAGCUAGAGUACGGUAGAGGGGGAUGGAAUUCCGCGUGUAGCAGUGAAAUGCGUAGAUAUGCGGAGGAACACCGAUGGCGAAGGCAAUCCCCUGGACCUGUACUGACGCUCAUGCACGAAAGCGUGGGGAGCAAACAGG